rnacentral:rRNA from 1 species
AUUGAACGCUGGCGGCAGGCCUAACACAUGCAAGUCGAACGAGUGGCGGACGGGUGAGUAAUGUCUGGGAAACUGCCUGAUGGAGGGGGAUAACUACUGGAAACGGUAGCUAAUACCGCAUACCAUCAGAUGUGCCCAGAUGGGAUUAGCUAGUUGGUGGGGUAACGGCUCACCAAGGCGACGAUCCCUAGCUGGUCUGGGAGGAUGACCAGCCACACUGGAACUGAGAGACGGUCCAGACUCCUACGGGAGGAAGCAUUGGGGAAUAUUGGACAAGGGGCGAAAGCCUGAUCCCGCCAUGCCGCGUGUGUGAAGAAGGUCUUCGGAUUGUAAAGCACUUUAAGUUGGGAGGCGUUACCAACAGAAUAAGCACCGGCUAACUUCGUGCCAGCAGCCGCGGUAAUAC